rnacentral:rRNA from 1 species
GUGGGGAAUAUUGGACAAUGGGCGCAAGCCUGAUCCAGCCAUGCCGCGUGAGUGAUGAAGGCCCUAGGGUUGUAAAGCUCUUUCACCGGUGAAGAUAAUGACGGUAACCGGAGAAGAAGCCCCGGCUAACUUCGUGCCAGCAGCCGCGGUAAUACGAAGGGGGCUAGCGUUGUUCGGAAUUACUGGGCGUAAAGCGCACGUAGGCGGGGAUUUAAGUCAGGGGUGAAAUCCCGGAGCUCAACUCCGGAACUGCCUUUGAUACUGGGUACCUAGAGUAUGGAAGAGGUAAGUGGAAUGCCGAGUGUAGAGGUGAAAUUCGUAGAUAUUCGGAGGAACACCAGUGGCGAAGGCGGCUUACUGGUCCAUUACUGACGCUGAGGUGCGAAAGCGUGGGGAGCAAACAGGAUUAGAAACCCUGGUAGUCC